AUUGAACGCUGGCGGCAUGCCUUACACAUGCAAGUCGAACGGUAACGGGCCUUCGGGUGCCGACGAGUGGCGAACGGGUGCGUAAUACAUCGGAACGUGCCCGAUCGUGGGGGAUAACGAGGCGAAAGCUUUGCUAAUACCGCAUACGAUCUACGGAUGAAAGCCGGGGACCGCAAGGCCUUGCGCGGACGGAGCGGCCGAUGGCAGAUUAGGUAGUUGGUGGGAUAAAAGCUUACCAAGCCGACGAUCCGUAGCUGGUCUGAGAGGAUGAUCAGCCACACUGGGACUGAGACACGGCCCAGACUCCUACGGGAGGCAGCAGUGGGGAAUUUUGGACAAUGGGCGCAAGCCUGAUCCAGCCAUGCCGCGUGCAGGAUGAAGGCCUUCGGGUUGUAAACUGCUUUUGUACGGAACGAAAAGCCUUCUUUUAAUACAGGAGGGUCAUGACGGUACCGUAAGAAUAAGCACCGGCUAACUACGUG
rnacentral:rRNA from 1 species